GGCAGAGGGAGCCUACUCCCCACCAAGUUUUCCUCCUUCAUGGUGUUUGGAGACCCUGGUUCACACCCUCUCUUCACCCACUCCCAGGAGCCCGGAACUUUCUGGAAAUGCCACAGGGGAUGAUGGAAGAGGAGAGAGAACUGGGCGGUCUCCAGGAUUCGGUGCUAAUCAGUUAGCAUUGCUCAAGAGGCAGAUCAGAGUUCCCCCUCUCCUCCAGCCCCUGGCCUGCCCCCGCCACACCCAUGUCACAAGGGUUUUACUCACUCCCUGGCAAGGCCACAUCCCAGGGAGGGACCCAGAGGAGAGGAGGAGGAAGAGGCUGGGGGAGGAGCUGCUGCUCCCGGAACCACUCGCUUCUUCCCUGCAAAACUGACCUUAAAGAGAAGUGUAGAGAGAAGCCGAAAGAAAUGGGAGGUGACAUGGCGACCAGGGGCAAGCCCCCGUUUGGGCGUUGUCUCAACGGUGGCUGACUCACGGCGUGGCCACAGUUUCAUGAGAGGAGGAGGAGGAAUUAUGUGCAAGGAAACUUGGACUCCUGAGAGUCAUGAAUGGGGUAAGGGGGAGGCAGAAAGAAGUCCCGAAAUCAGAUUUCACCUACUUGGUACACUUGCCAGGACAGGCUUGGCGCAGUGCCUCCGCAGCAAAAGCUGAGUAAAUAUUAUGACAGGAUCACUAAAGACAAGCCAAACCAAACAAAUCCCUUAAAGAUCCACCUCAGAGCCGUUGCAAAGGAAAUAAGAGAGAUCUGGGAGCCAAGGACAAGAUAAUGAUACCAGCAUCCAGAGGGGACAGCUACUGUAACACAGGGUCUCCCCCGGGCACUGCUGACAUUGGGGUCAUGUCACUCUCUGUGGGGCUGUCAUGGACACUGCAGUGCUAAGCAGCAUCCCUGGCCCCUACCUACUCCAUGCCAGGAAUAUUCCUCAGUUGUGACAACCAUAGAUGUCCCCAGACAUUUCUCAGUGCCCGCCUCCCCACCCCCCUUGGAGAGGGGCAACUGUUGCAAUGUAACUUAUUGCUGGAUACAAGAAACACAUCAUGUGUGGCACGUAGUAGGUCCUCAUUAAAGUUUUGUUGCAUGAAUAAAUAAUGAUCGAUGCA